rnacentral:rRNA from 1 species
AUCUUCCGCAAUGGACGAAAGUCUGACGGGGCAACGCCGCGUGAGUGAUAAAGGCUUCCGGGUCGUAAAACUCUGUUGUUAGGGAAGAAAAAGUGCUAGUUGAAUAAGCUGGUACCUUGACGGUACCUAACCAGAAAGCCCCGGCUAAAUACGUGCCAGCAGCCGCGGUAAUACGUAGGUGGCAAGCGUUAUCCGGAAUUAUUGGGCGUAAAGCGCGCGCAGGUGGUUUCUUAAGUCUGAAGUGAAAGCCCACGGCUCAACCGUGGAGGGUCAUUGGAAACUGGGAGACUUGAGUGCAGAAGAGGAAAGUGGAAUUCCAUGUGUAGCGGUGAAAUGCGUAGAGAUAUGGAGGAACACCAGUGGCGAAGGCGACUUUCUGGUCUGUAACUGACACUGAGGCGCGAAAGCGUGGGGAGCAAACAGG